ensembl:lncRNA
UGUUUCUUGAAAAUGUCUAGGUAUGGUGACCGCCACUUCUCUGGGCAGCCUGUGCCACUGCCUCACUGCUCCUUCUGAGAAGGAUUUUUUCCUAAUACCCAACCUGAACCUCCCUUGUCACAACUUAAAGGCAUUACCUCUUUUCCUAGGAAGGAGAGAAAGGAAGAAAGAAGGGAAGAAAGGAAGGUAGGAAGAAGAAAAAAGAGAAAGAGAAAAGAGAAAGCACUGUAGGAAUACCAUGCCAGGUAGAGUCCAUGGUGAGCGGUGGUAUUGAUGUGGAGAAGGCCAGACUGUUAGGAUCUGAGUUGGAAGAGAAAUUACUGCCCAUUAAAGGGAAAGCAAAGGUGAAGUUGAAGCAAAUGAAAUGGUUGAGAUGUUGUGCAUGAGCAGCCUACCACCACAGGUGCCAGAUUAACAGCCCUGGAGACUUUCUGUUCCAAGGACAUCCAAAGGACCAGCAGUGAGAGUCCAGUUUUUGCCAUGCUGCCCUUGCAACGUGACAUUGAUGUGACUGUACUGACCAAAGGAGAAAGUAGCUCAGAUUGUUCAGGUCAGAGUGUUCAGAAGAUUGAUCCCCGAGAGGCUGACCCCUGAAGGACCUGGUGGGAUACCUGUUAGGACGGGCCAUGUUGAAGCCUCACAACUCCAUCUCCUGGUAUUGGAUGCUGAAGAGAAGACCUGUCUCAGAAAAAGGGAGCAAAGAUUUGUGGCCUUUAAAACACUGCCUCAAUACGCUGUGCAAACCCUUAUUGUGAUAAUAAUUGUCUUUCUUUUGGAAUUUGUGUACAGAACACUAAAUAUAGGAAGGAGCUCUCUGACAACUCACCUGUUUGAGCAGGGCUGCAGAAUGCAGUUUGGAAGAACAGUGCUCCACCAUUCAAGACAUGUUGGUUUGGAAGAAAGUUCUGUCUUGAGGUGGGACAGGAAAACUGCUGAAGUGUUUCAUAGCCAAUGCUCAUUUUCCUUCUUUUGUCUGAAGACAGUGAUGUUGUCCUCUUAUCCUGCUAGAAAACUAAAGCUUACAUCACUUCCAGCUUGCAAGCUAAGUGCAUAUAUGCAUAAAAUUCUAAAUGCCUUAAGAAACAGUAAUGUCAUGGCAUGGGAGGUUUAUAAAAAAUAUAAAACAGCUCAGAAAGGGUUAUUGUGAAAUGAUUAAUGCCUCUGACACUUCCAGUUACAAGACCUAGGAGACAUAUAAUUACAUCAGUAGGUGGAAAGUUCAAAAUGAUGGAGGUGUUUUUACAUAUCAUGUGGAUAAUCUGCAUAACCCCUUGAGUCUGGAGGCUGUGAAUACUGAGAAUUCACAUGGCUUCAAAAAAACAACCAGAGAAAUUCAAUGAAGAAACCACCAGCAUCCAUUAAAAGUAAAGACAACACCCCUUGUUCAGAAAGUCUGAGCUGCACGUUCUUGAGGCAGGGAAAGAAGCUGGGGGAAAGAUGACUCCCUUCUUCCCUCUUGUGCUGUUCAGCUGCUGUUGGCAACAGUCAGGAACAUGGCACAGCACACAACAAACCCAUGGUCUGACUCAGUAAAACUCGUCUUGCAUUCUUAUGUCAUGCUACAUUAUUGAAUAGAAUCAUAAAACUACUCUAAAGACCCACUGUAGCUGAGAAAGAUGAGGGGCUGGAGAACCUGCUCCAUGACUAAUUUCUUUACUUUGGUUGUUCAUUGGAGUGGUUUUUUACACCAUAAGUGUUGUAGGUCUGGACCAUUAUGUAUUUCUUUUUCAAUCAUUGCUGAAAUCUUAAGGAAUUUUCUAAGGUGUGGCAGUGGUUGAAUAGAAACCUCACAGUUUCCCCAGGGUUUUUUCACAAAGAUCCAUGGCACGUACAAGCAUCUUGAAAUGGAGCAUCCAUUUGUUUGAUUAUGCUCCAAGCCAACAAAAGAGCCAGAUAAAGCUAGAACAAUUUGCAUUAUCUGAAGCUUACAUAUAUGUAAUCUUGUCAAAUAAAAGCCACAACAAGCUUAGUAGAACAAAGGACAGAGGGAGCUCCUUAUGCUGGUUGUAGAGGGAACAGCUAAAGCCUUGAUCCCUCCUAUCAAAGGCAGUAUGUUCAAAAAAGCUGGGAAAGAUGCCCAUGUUCAAGCAAAUUUUUACUUGCCUGUAACAUAAAGCAAGUUAUUGUCAUGGUAAAGUAACAGGCUUUAAAAAUGGUAGAAAUGUGCAUAGAUGUAUAUGUAUAUACUCAUAUGUUAUAUACACAUGUAGUUAUUAUCCCUUACAAGAGGAAAGCAUAUUAUAAUAUGAUUACCCACAUUGAGGGGCUGCUGGAGAGCUCGAAGCUCUCUGUGUUCUUGCAGUUGCAGAGCUCUCCGCUGCAGCCCAAAGGUCCUUCCCACUGUAUGCUCUUUGCCUUCCUAAAUUCAAAUCUAUUGCUUUAAAAAGAAGUUACUUUGCAAAGCACAAAGAUGUAUUUUAAUAAAAUAGUUCUAACCAAAUUGCUGACGGCAGGACAAUUCUGCAGCUUCACAAUAGGAACUGUAGGGUUCCUGCUGCCUGAUAAACACAUGAUAAAUUGCAAACCUCCUGCUUCUAUCCCACAAGCUCAGAGUGUUGAGUGAUCACCAUUGUUUCUCUGAUUUAUUUUCAUGCCUACUGGUGCCCAUAUAAAAUCUCAGUCUAUUUAUGCUCAGGCUUCCUCCAAUUUUUUCAUGGAUUAUGUAGCACAACGAUCAGAUUGACAAUUAAUGUAAACAUAUAUCACGGAUGUGAAUUACAUUUUAAUUCUCUGAGUCCAUCACAUCUGUCAUCUCUAUCUGUGUGAUUGCCUUAGCUAUGUGACUAUUAACUCCACCAGCACGGCUCUAGAGAACUGUUUGCUCAGGCUUCCACAAGGCCUGGGUCUGCAGAGUUCUUAUAUUUACAUAAAUGAAAAAUCUUCUGGUUUCACCCAAAUUUUGCAUUGUUGUUCAUGUGAAAAAAGUAAGGGGUUAAACCUGUUGCUGUUGCUUGAGUAUGCCUGGAAGAUACCCUCAAGCACUGGUAACACAAAAGGACUUGUUUUCACCCAGAUCUCACAGCUCUUUCAACAGAUCCUUGGGGGCAGUGGUUGCUGGACUUUCACCACUGUUUAGACAAGGAAUUCGUGGAAUUUCGAUUAUUUGCAUGUAACUUUGGGGGAUCUUAACCAAAGUCCACUGAACAUAAGAGCCUGAUAAUGGCUGAGAUAGGAUUUGCUUACAGCUCAAGAGUGAAUUUCUUUGCCUUGAGCACUGUGAAAUCUUAAUUGAUCAGAUUAAAAAAUGCCAUCAUAAGAAAAACAAGAAGUAGAAAAGAGUAUGUAUCUGCAGACAUAGGGGCCUACAUGAGACCCUUGCAGUGCUAGCCAGUCUUUGUCUAAACUGCAACCCUGCCAGGCCAUAGGAAUAAUUUGAUGGCUUUUGUUCCUCAAUAAAGAGACUUGAACACCUUUGAACCUAGAAAAAAAGAACACAUCAACGAUUUCUUUCCAAGAUCCAUCAGUUAACCAGUUUUUAAUCUAUUUAGUAUGUGCUUCAGUGAUUCAGUUAAAUGUUUUAAUCGGGAUGUCAUGUUGUAUUAAGUGAAAGAACCUGUGGAAAUCUGUGUGUGUUAUGUCAGCUGUCACUUUUUAUUAACUAAGGCCUACCAAAAAUGCUAGCAAUAUUUUUCUGGUAAGUGCUAACAUUUAAAAAUUUACAUUUCACAAGGAUCCUAUUGCUCUCAUUAAAGAGUGCUGAUAGUGUUCACUGCAUCUGCAUCCCACAUUCAUCAAUUCUUUACAGUAACAUGCUCAAUAUAUGCUAUGGUUUUGCUCAGGAUCAAUGCUAGCCUAACAAGCCUGCCAUUAGCCAUGUAAUACCUUUUAGGCUUUAGAGCCCUUGCCCACCAUUAACAUUUCAGCUAUUCAAAUGCAUGCAUCGUUGUGCAGCAUCAAACACAGAGUACUUCCAUGAAAAGGUACAUCUUCAUGAAGAUUGGUCGUUUCUGCAUGCAAAAAUUUCAGCUCUACCAAAAGCACUACCAAAGAUUUUGCAGAUAUAGUGAAGGUAAACAGCAUAUGCUAAAUUUUGAUGCAGUCUCUGGCUCAUAACACCUGCAGUUAAUGCUAGCAUUGUUCAGUGAAGUUUAAGAUGUGCAUACGUUGGUUAUCAUUCACACAGUAUUUUGAAUAUACAAAUAACACUACAUAAUUCUGCUGAUUUAGUAGAGACAGUAGAGACAUGAACCACUCGAGGCAUUACAAGACCUUGGUGAGAAGAGGAAAACUCUAGCUCAAAGCUGAUGUCCUACGGUGACAGACAGGGUCCUGGUUCAUCAAACAAAACAAAAACCAAAACAAACAAACAAACAAAAAUACUACAACAAAAAACACCUUAUGAUUACUCAGACAUUUACAAAAUACUGUAAAGCCUAACUUGUGGCAUGACUACAAGAAAAGGACACAUGCAAUGACACUGAGCGAUCGACUCAAAUACGCUAUAAAAUAACAGUCCCAAAAUAGUAAACCUUGCGAUGAAUUAUUAAAGUUGCUUAUUUUAACAUUUUAUUUACUGAAUUUUGCAUUAUUAAAAUUACAAAUCAUCAACUCACAU